AUGGAUCAGACAUGCAGGAGGUGGAGCUCCACAUGGAUCAUGACGUGGUCGUCGUGGGGGCCUGGAUCAUCAAGUCUGCAGGUGGUGUCGGGGGCGGUGCAAUGCCAGCUGCUGGACAUAGUUCACCCUGGGUUGGUGCUUAUGCACAAGGUGAAUUUCGAUGCCAAGAUGGAGUACGACAUGAUCCAGAACUAUAGGAUUCUCCUGGAUGUGUUCAACAAGUUGCAGAUAGGCAAGGUACGGGUGGUGAUUCUCCUAGCUUAG
rnacentral:rRNA from 1 species